rnacentral:rRNA from 1 species
GAUGAACGCUGGCGGCGUGCCUAAUACAUGCAAGUCGAGCGGAAGGACGAGAAGCUUGCUUCUCUGAUGUUAGCGGCGGGCGGGAGAGUAACACGUGGAUAAUCUACCUAUAAGAGUGAGAACACUACGGGAAACCGGAGCUAAUACCGGAGAAUAUCUUGAACCGCAUGGGUGGAAAGUGAAAGACGGUCUUGCUGUCACGUAUAGAUGCAUCCGGGCUGCUUUGGCUAGUUGGUAAGGUAAAGGCUUACGAAGGCAACGCGGCGUAGCCGAGGUGAGAGGGGGGUCGGCCACACUGGAACUGAGCCACGGUCCAGACUCCUGCGGGAGGCAGCAGUAUGCAAUCGUCCGCAGUGGUCGAAAGCCUGACGGAGCAACGCCACGUGAGUGAUGGAGGUCUUCGGAGCGUAAUACUGUCUUAUUGGGGAAGAACAGAUUUGUAAGGAACUGAGCACAGCGUGACGGUACUGAAUCAGAAAGCCACGGCUAACUACGUG